rnacentral:rRNA from 1 species
GUAAGAGUUUGAUCAUGGCUCAGGACGAACGCUGGCGGCGUGCUUAACACAUGCAAGUCGAACGGUAAGGCCCUUCGGGGUACACGAGUGGCGAACGGGUGAGUAACACGUGGGUAAUCUGCCCUGCACAUCGGGAUAAGCCUGGGAAACUGGGUCUAAUACCGAAUAGGACCACGGGAUGCAUGUCCUGUGGUGGAAAGCUUUUGCGGUGUGGGAUGGGCCCGCGGCCUAUCAGCUUGUUGGUGGGGUGAUGGCCCACCAAGGCGACGACGGGUAGCCGGCCUGAGAGGGUGUCCGGCCACACUGGGACUGAGAUACGGCCCAGACUCCUACGGGAGGCAGCAGUGGGGAAUAUUGCACAAUGGGCGAAAGCCUGAUGCAGCGACGCCGCGUGGGGGAUGACGGCCUUCGGGUUGUAAACCUCUUUCACCAUCGACGAAGGUCCGGGUUUUCUCGGAUUGACGGUAGGUGAGAAGAAGCACCGG